GUAACAGUGUAGCAGCCUUGGGGGUGAAGAGAGAAGCGGUCAAAACCCACAAAUCGUAAACUGUUCAGCCUUCUUUCAGUUGAAACUCGGCCAGAAACUAGCUAAACUAACCAGCUCGUUGUGGAUAAAAUGGCUUGGAUAUUCUAAUUCCUUGGAUUUUUGGCGAUCUUUCACCGCUGUGAAUAAAGACACGAGGAAAAAGAGCAACACAUCACAUAUCAGAGAAAUAGAGGACACCUACCUUGCACGCUAUUUACCAGUGAAUGCGGAUUUCUGCGAGGCAAUACUGCCUGGACCAACAAAACGAGAAGACAACCGCUCAAAGAUGUCCCUUCUUGAAAUGCUGCGAAAGAGAAUGACGGCAACAGCAAGACACAGUAAGGAAUCUGAACAGGAAACUUGGCCCGCAAGAGAAGCAAGAGCUGAUCCAUCUAAACAUGCAUUGAAGACUUGAGUUAGGGUGGAAAAACAAGUGAGAAAUCGCUUUGGUGGGGGCACCCGGGUACUUGACAUAACCAAGGAUUCAUCUAAAAAAGACUUUACGUCUCGUGCAAAAGAACUGCUUUUUCAC